rnacentral:misc_RNA from 1 species
GUAUUGUAUUGCGUUAAACGCGGCAUGCAUUCCAUUAGACUUUAUCACAGCGUGAGUGUAAAGACGCAGAACCACAGCAGGAGGACAAGUCCCCCAGGCCACAGAACUACAUAAGGUGCACAGGUGUGAGUGGAUGCACAAACAGAGCGUGCACAUGCCCCCGUUUGGAGACCAGCAACAACUCGUGUCAGCGGUUCAGUAAUGAUCCUUCCGCAGGUUCACCUACGGAAA